rnacentral:rRNA from 1 species
CAGUAGCCACGGUAAUACGGAGGGCGCGAGCGUUACCCGGAUUUACUGGGCGUAAAGGGCGUGUAGGCGGCCUGGGGCGUCCCAUGUGAAAGACCACGGCUCAACCGUGGAGGAGCGUGGGAUACGCUCAGGCUAGAGGGUGGGAGAGGGUGGUGGAAUUCCCGGAGUAGCGGUGAAAUGCGCAGAUACCGGGAGGAACGCCGAUGGCGAAGGCAGCCACCUGGUCCACUUCUGACGCUGAGGCGCGAAAGCGUGGGGAGCAAACCGGAUUAGAUACCGAGUAGUCCCUGUUUCUUAUACA